UCCGGUUUGUCACCGGCAGUCACCUUAGAGUGCCCAACCCAAUGCUGGCAACUAAGAUCAAGGGUUGCGCUCGUUGCGGGACUUAACCCAACAUCUCACGACACGAGCUGACGACAACCAUGCACCACCUGUCUCUUUGUCCCCGAAGGGAAUCCCCUAUCUCUAGGGUGGUCAAAGGAUGUCAAGACCUGGUAAGGUUCUUCGCGUUGCUUCGAAUUAAACCACAUGCUCCACUGCUUGUGCGGGUCCCCGUCAAUUCCUUUGAGUUUCAACCUUGCGGUCGUACUCCCCAGGCGGAGUGCUUAUUGUGUUUACUUCGGCACUAAGGGCAUCGAAACCCCUAACACCUAGCACUCAUCGUUUACGGCGUGGACUAC
rnacentral:misc_RNA from 1 species